CUCCUGAUCAGCAGACUUCGCAUCCAUCCUCAUCCUCACAAAAGAUUGACUCACCACUAGGGAUCAGCGAGUUUUCUAUUUUAGGGCUUUUGUCAAAAGUAAACAAAUGUCACCCUUUCACGUGGUCUCAUCCCAAGAACAAUCCCCACCCUCCCUCAGCAAAUCACAGGCAGCAAGGCGGCGAGGGGGAGACAAGUCUAGGGCGAGUGUGUGUGAUUAGUAUCCACACAGGGAGUCACUCAUGUAGUGAAGCAGCAACUUGCAUCAGUGACAGCGCAGCCUCCAGCAAGGGACACUUUGAACUGACAAAGCAGUGUCCCCUAAUGACAGCAAAGUGACAAUACCUUGGUCAAGUGGACAGCUGUCUCUUCAGGCUGUGACUAAAAGAAUUUACUGAGUGCCACCUCAUCCAGAAAGUCAGGGGAGCAGAUUCAUCCUACAUCAGAUGAGCGGAGUCAAUCACUGUAAUUUGUCCUCCAUUCUUAGGAACAUUUCCCCCACCUUCCUUUUUUGUUUAAGUUCAUUUUUCCAAUAUUUUUUCAGUUGCCUUUUCCCAAUUCCUGUUCUUUCUUUAAGCUG